CGUAUUUGCUACCUAACGACUCACACGAAAUCACUCGUUCAUAUAGAAACAUGAUCAGUAAUCACACGCAGUGUGAUCUUACCGGAAUAUUGAUCAGGCUUCGAAGCGAUCACGGGAAUUAUGCUCUUUUUUGCUGGUAUUAUACCCUUAUAUUAUGCCCUUUAUUAUGCUUCACGAAUCACGAGAGCGGCGCAAAUUAGAUAGUUGAAGUUAUGACAAUGUAAAGUUGUGCAUACAAUUUAGUUGUUUGCGCAAGAAACAUUAUGAGUAAUGUAAGUAAUCAGAUAAUGAUGAAACACGCCCUUUUGGCAGCCAGGCAAGGAAACCUUAAAAUGCAUAUGCGUGGGUUCCGUGUGUUAUUGUAUAAAAGAGCUGUAAGUUGUAAAUGUAUUCAGAUCAGUAGAGAAUAAAAUUGGGAUUAGAUUAAUUGCUGGAAGUAGUUAGCAUUGCCCAAUUUAAGUGCUGCUACUAAAUUCUAACCAAUUUUCAAAUUUCGACACGUUGUAAUGCCGUUUCCUGACCAUCAGAUUUCUGUCAAAUCUUCCCCCAAAGUCCAGGAAAUGGCAUUUCAGAGACUCUAGAUUCAAAAAU
rnacentral:lncRNA from 1 species